AGGGUUCAGAAGAGCCCCCUGAAGAACAUGCAGUUCAACCUCUCCUGCUAAAAGCAGGGUCACCUAGAUCAGGUUGCACGGGAACGUACCCAUGCAAGGUUUCAAUGCCUCCAGAGAAGGAGACUCCACAAUCUCUCAGGGCAGCCUGCUCCAGUGUUCUGGCACUCUAAAAGAUAUUGCUAAGCAUUGAGAAGAUCCUCUCUCAGGCUGCUCUUCUGCAGACUAAACAACCCCAGGUCUCUCAGCCCUUCCUCAUAAGGUAGAUGCUUCAUCCCUCUCAACAUCAUUGUAGCCUCUACUGGCCUCUCUCCAGUAGCUGCCUGUGCCUCUUAAACUGGGGAGUCCAGAACUGUACACAACACUCCAGGUGAAGCCUCACCAGGGCACAUUCUUAUGUAUAUUAAAUAAAGGCAACUGAUACUCCUCA